AGGCAGCAGUGAGGAAUAUUGGUCAAUGGGGGCAACCCUGAACCCGCCAUGCCGCGUGCGGGAAGACGGCCCUAUGGGUUGUAAACUGCUUUUCUACGGGAAUAAAGUGAUCUACGUGUAGAUCUUUGAAGGUACCGUAGGAAUAAGCAUCGGCUAACUCCGUGCCAGCAGCCGCGGUAAUACGGAGGAUGCAGGCGUUAUCCGGAUUUAUUAAGUUUAAAGGGUGCGUAGGCGGUCCAUUAAGUCAGUGGUGAAAGUUUGCAGCUUAACUGUAAAAUUGCCAUUGAUACUGGUAGACUUGAAUAUGGUGGAGGUAGGCGGAAUGUGUAGUGUAGCGGUGAAAUGCUUAGAUAUUACACAGAACACCAAUUGCGAAGGCAGCUUACUAUACCAUCAUUGACGCUGAGGCACGAAAGCGUGGGGAGCGAACAGGAUUAGAUACCCUGGUAG
rnacentral:rRNA from 1 species